UCUACGGGCGGCACCAGUGGGGAAUAUUGCACAGUGGGCGCAAGCCCGAUGCAGCCAUGCCGCGUGUAUGAAGAAAGCCUUAGGGUUGUAAAGUACUUUCAGUUGGGAGGAAGGCGUUGAUGCUAAUAUCAUCAGCGAUUGACGUUACCGACAGAAGAAGCACCGGCUAACUCCGUGCCAGCAGCCGCGGUAAUACGGAGGGUGCAAGCGUUAAUCGGAAUUACUGGGCGUAAAGCGCACGCAGGCGGUUGAUUAAGUUAGAUGUGAAAUCCCCGGGCUUAACCUGGGAAUGGCAUCUAAGACUGGUCAGCUAGAGUCUUGUAGAGGGGGGUAGAAUUCCAUGUGUAGCGGUGAAAUGCGUAGAGAUGUGGAGGAAUACCGGUGGCGAAGGCAGCCCCCUGGACAAAGACUGACGCUCAGGUGCGAAAGCGUGGGGAGCAAACAGGAUUAGAUACCCUAGUAGUC
rnacentral:rRNA from 1 species